GUCUGCACGAAGGUACGAAGCAUAUGCAGAACGAAUAAAAUUACAAAAAUCCUCGUCCUCGUGUUAAUCUGGUCGCGUUUCUUUAUAGAAUCUCAAAACACACUCCAUGCUGUUUGACAGAUUUGAGGCUUGAGCCAGCCAUCAUAACAACAAGAUGUGACAGUUUAUCAGCAACAAUCUUAGUGUCAUCGCUUGGAUAAACAGCAACCCGUUGGAUUGGGGAAACUACCAUGUCGACCGAGUUUUCCUUCUUUCCUCGUGUACACCCAUGUGAGUCUCGGUGUAUUCACGAGGCUGAGGCCCAUUUUCCUAUCCCGCCUGGUGGAUUCAACUAUUCUUCGGAUGGAGUACUUGUGGAAGCCUGGCCGUA